GUGCUCACUAAAGCACAUGAAUUAAAAUUGGAAUGAUAUAGAGAUUAGCAUGGUUCCUGCACAAGGAUAAUGUGCAAAUCUGGGAAAUGUUCCAUUUUUUU
rnacentral:snRNA from 1 species